AGGCAGAGCCAAGGCCCAUUGGACCAGGCCUGAAGGAUUUCAUAGAGCUUGAAUGGGCCCUCUGAUGGCAGGGCCUAGAUACCCCCAGAAAGAGAAAGGGGUACAGAGGGGAGAUCUGCACUGGGCGCCAGGACCGACCUGUCAGGUGUUCGGCAAAGAGCUUUGGGGUUUUGACAAAGAAAAGUAAGAGAUUGAGGUCAUGAUACGCCUCAGAAACCAACUAGGGAGGAGACACCUGAAAUCUUCCGUUGGGCGUCUUCUUCCCAGGACUCUUUAGAACUUGGCAUUCUGUGCCAUCGGGGAGAAACACACUGGGAAGAAAUGAAGCGUGAACAUCCACAAGAGGCUCCAAACAUCCUUCUCCUAUUAGCCAUGAGGCGACCCUGCAGACUCACCAUAUGGCCCAGCAGCCAGUGGCCCCUUGGGAUCCUGGACAGGUUCAUCCACUUAAUUAUUUGGUGACUAUAAAU